UACGUAGGGUGCAAGCGUUGUCCGGAAUUAUUGGGCGUAAAGAGCUCGUAGGCGGUUUGUCGCGUCUGCUGUGAAAACGCGAGGCUUAACCUCGCGCCUGCAGUGGGUACGGGCAGACUAGAGUGCGGUAGGGGAGACUGGAAUUCCUGGUGUAGCGGUGGAAUGCGCAGAUAUCAGGAGGAACACCGAUGGCGAAGGCAGAUCUCUGGGCCGUAACUGACGCUGAGGAGCGAAAGCAUGGGGAGCGAACAGG
rnacentral:rRNA from 1 species